rnacentral:rRNA from 3 species
UCACACCCGUUCCCAUGCCGAACACGGAAGUUAAGCUCUUCAGCGCCGAUGGUAGUUGGGGGAUCUCCCCCUGUGAGAGUAGGACGUCGCCAGGC